UGGGGAAUUUUGGACAAUGGGCGAAAGCCUGAUCCAGCAAUGCCGCGUGUGUGAAGAAGGCCUUCGGGUUGUAAAGCACUUUUGUCCGGAAAGAAAUCCUUGGCUCUAAUACAGUCGGGGGAUGACGGUACCGGAAGAAUAAGCACCGGCUAACUACGUGCCAGCAGCCGCGGUAAUACGUAGGGUGCAAGCGUUAAUCGGAAUUACUGGGCGUAAAGCGUGCGCAGGCGGUUUGCUAAGACCGAUGUGAAAUCCCCGGGCUCAACCUGGGAACUGCAUUGGUGACUGGCAGGCUAGAGUAUGGCAGAGGGGGGUAGAAUUCCACGUGUAGCAGUGAAAUGCGUAGAGAUGUGGAGGAAUACCGAUGGCGAAGGCAGCCCCCUGGGCCAAUACUGACGCAUGCACGAAAGCCGUGGGGGAGCAAACAGGAUUCAGAUACCCUGGUAGUCCACGCCCUAAACGAUGUCAACUAGUUGUUGGGGAUUCAUUUCCUUAGUAACGUAGCUAACGCGUGAAGUUGA
rnacentral:rRNA from 1 species